UCUAUGACUUUAUUAGGAAAUAUAAUGUGGGAACAAUACAGAGAAGAUUAGCAUGGCCCAUGUGCAAGGAUGACAAUCUCCUUUAUUGACAAUGUCUGCCCUUCU
ensembl:snRNA U6 U6 spliceosomal RNA